GUUCAGUGAGCAUGAGAUCCUCGUAUAGCAAAGACUGCUUUAUUCCUGGCGGUCAGUACAAUUAAUAAGCGCUGUUCCCAAAGAGCUCGGGGACUCUUCAGAUUGCUGGACCACAGGGAGAUGGACAAAACCUGACUGGAAUGCAGCCAAUCCUGCUUUCUGGGAAAUGAAGCCACAGCCACUGAGAAGAAAAGAUACACCUUCAGAAUUCUACGUGCCCCACCAGGAGCCCAGAAAACAGUCAGUACUAGUAUUCACACAAGCACCGAAGACAUGGCCCCAACAAACACCAAGGUUGGAAAUUAUAGUAUUGAGUUAUGGUAGGUAAGCAUUUUAAGAUCCGGUCGUGGUGUAGGCCUAUAAUCCUAGUGAGAGUAAAUUGAAACUCAAGGACCUGAGCUGGGCGUAUCAGUAGUCUGAGGUCAACUUUCACAGCAUGGAACGGGCCUAAGCAAAUUGCCUGUAAUCCUUGCUACUCUGGAGGCUGCGGCAGAAAGGUGAGAUCAAAGCCUGCUUGUGCGUGUGCAGAAUGAGUUCAUGCCACUCAAGAAGACCCUGUCUCGGACAUAAAAAGAGGGCUGGGGGUUGUGCCCAUCACCCCAGGUUCAGGUCUCAGUAACAAGAGGAAAUAAAACUCAAAACCAAAACCAAAACCAGAACCAAGCCGAUCUUUAUCGUCCCCUGCUGCAAUUGCUUAUUCUAGGCUGAGUCUGACAUUGUUCUAAGUUUGUUUUCUGUUAUCUCUGUGUGCUGACUUGGAAGACAUUCUCAUGGAGGAGCCCAAAGGAGAGUUGACACAAAAGACAUUUCUGCAAUUAACAACAACAAGAGUAAGCCCUGCUUUGCCCUUUGCUACCCAACAGACUUGGACAGAGUCUGAGCAGGAUACCCGAUUCACAAGAAUUUCCUGAUGAUCUGGCUGGCUUGAUUAGCGAAUGCAAAAAGCAAACUCAACAUUGUCUGGACUGAAAGGCUCUGACAUUAAAAUCUCCAAGUCCUCGGACGUUUUUCUGUUGAGGAACCGAGUUACUGUGUCCUUAAAAGUAUCCUCUUGUUAACGGCAUACCUUCACAACCUACAAAAACAUACACAAGUACCCUUACACUGGAAUUUGGGGUGAGGGAGAGGGAAUGAAUGAGGUGCCUCAUUGGCUACGGGCACUCGCUGUACAAGUGGUCAAUCCGAGUUGGAUCCCUGGGACCCGUACAAAGAGAACACACACCACAAGUUGUCCUCAGACUGCUACCUGCACGUGAUAUCAUUUGUGCAUGUGCACAUGUACACACUACAUUUUUUUAAGCUAAAAAAUAAAUUACACCCCUCUGUCAUA